UAUAUACUCCCUCCAUCUGAAAUUACUUAUCGCACAAAUGUAUUGAAAUAGGUGUAUCUAGAACUAAAAUAAAUUUAGAUACGUCCAUUUCUGUGAUAAAUAUUUUGGACGGAGGGAGUACUAG
rfam:Hordeum vulgare subsp. vulgare, WGS project CAJW01000000 data, contig: morex_contig_42454